AAAUAAUUAUAAAAAAUAAUCACUUCCUACAAUGCGCGAUUGACCAGGUUUAUCAGAAAAAAAAGGUACUCUAUGACUCCGCCUAGUGUUCAGAUGUGGGUUUAGAUGAAGCGUUCAAACUACAAGCUUGUUACUAGGCGUACAGUUUCUGAUAGGUAGGUGUCUUAAUCAAACGAAAAUUAGUAAAAAAGAUUUCGCCUGUUGGUCAGCACAAUGGAUAAAAGAGUUGUCUAGAGUUUUUCCCUGUUUAAAGAAGUAAGAGUGAAUGCAGUUCCACAAGGCCUGUUGGGUGACGGUUCCAGACAGCACUAAUGGAGAGGUGGUGACUUCAAUAGGAAGUUGCUUUUGAGAGAUUGUCAGCCAUCAUUUUGAUCCUGGAAAAGCAUGAGAGUUUGUCAGGUGCCAACGUAUAAUGCAAUAUUGGCUCCUCUGAAUAAAAUGUAUCCAGAAUUAUACCUGGUUCUUCUGCUUCCGUCUCAUCCACCGAUGUCACUGACACUCCAAGCUCUAAGCACUUUUUCAUGUGAGCUUUUGACUUCAUGUGUUUCGUAAGGUUUCCUGAAAACAGAUUGUAAAGAGUUUGAAUAACUUGCAUUGGCAUUAAAUAGUACAGAGAUCAUAUGCUAUUUAGUGUGGUACAAACAAAAAUCUACAAAAAGUACAUAAAUCAUGUUUUUUCAUCAAAUUGUAUAAUGUUGUUUUUAAUGCUAUGUGUGCUUUUGCAUGUAUUGGUUAUUGGAAAUGUAUGAGAAAACCCACCUUUUGUUUUAAAAGCAAAGUUGCAGAACUUGCAGACAUAUGGCCUGA